rnacentral:rRNA from 1 species
AGAGUUUGAUCCUGGCUCAGAGCGAACGCUGGCGGCAGGCCUAACACAUGCAAGUCGAACGAACCCUUCGGGGUUAGUGGCGGACGGGUGAGUAACACGUGGGAACGUACCUUUAGGUUCGGAACAACACAGGGAAACUUGUGCUAAUGCCGAAUGUGCCCUUCGGGGGAAAGAUUUAUCGCCUUUAGAGCGGCCCGCGUCUGAUUAGCUUGUUGGUGAGGUAAAGGCUCACCAAGGCUUCGAUCAGUAGCUGGUCUGAGAGGAUGAUCAGCCACACUGGGACUGAGACACGGCCCAGACUCCUACGGGAGGCAGCAGUGGGGAAUCUUGCGCAAUGGGCGAAAGCCUGACGCAGCCAUGCCGCGUGAAUGAUGAAGGUCUUAGGAUUGUAAAAUUCUUUCACCGGGGAAGAUAAUGACGGUACCCGGAGAAGAAGCCCCGGCUAACUUCGUG